GAGCUCAACGAGAACAGAAAUC
rnacentral:snRNA from 1 species